ensembl:lncRNA
GAGAGGAGAGGGAGGCAGCGAGGGGAGAGGAGAGGAGAGGGGAGGGAGGCAGCGAGGGGAGAGGAGAGGAGAGGGAGGGAGGCAGCGAGGGAAGAGGAGAGGAGAGGGAGGCAGCGAGGGAAGAGGAGAGGAGAGGGAGGCAGCGAGGGAAGAGGAGAGGGAGGCAGCGAGGGAAGAGGAGAGGAGAGGGAGGCAGCGAGGGGAGAGGAGAGGGAGGCAGCGAGGGGAGAGGAGAGGAGAGGGAGGCAGCGAGGGGAGAGGAGAGGAGAGGAGAGGGAGGCAGCGAGGGAAGAGGACAGGAGAGGGAGGCAGCGAGGGGAGAGGAGAGGAGAGGGAGGUAGCGAGGGGAGAGGAGAGGGAGGCAGUGAGGGGAGAGGAGAGGGAGGCAGCGAGGGGGAGGAGAGGAGAGGGAGGCAGCGAGGGGAGAGGAGAGAAGAG